ACUUCGGGGCAGCGUGAAAUUCGCGACCGACGGUAUUUGUGCACAGAUGACAUUGUCUGUUGUGACACAUCAGCCCGUGAGUCAUUUUUAUGACAUGAUUUGGUGAGAUUCCAAGGCCGACAGUACAGUCUGGAUGAGAGAAGU
rnacentral:ncRNA from 1 species